UGUGGUUAAAAAGCUCGUAGUUGGAUCUCAACAGCCUUGAAGCGGUUAACUUUGUAGUUUUACUGCUUUAUAGGCUGUGCUUUUGCUGGAGGUUUAGGGGUGCUCUUGAUCGAGUGUUUCUGGAUGCCAGCAGGUUUACUUUGAAAAAAUUAGAGUGCUCAAAGCAGGCUAAAAUGCCUGAAUAUUCGUGCAUGGAAUAAUAGAAUAGGAUGUCGAUCCUAUUUUGUUGGUUUUCGGGACUCGACAUAAUGAUAAAUAGGGACAGUCGGGGGCAUUUGUAUUCAAACGACAGAGGUGAAAUUCUUGGACCGUUUGAAGACAAACUACUGCGAAAGCAUUUGCCAAGAAUGUUUUCAUUAAUCAAGAACGAAAGUUAGAGGUUCGAAGGCGAUUAGAUACCGCCCUAGUUCUAACCAUAAACGAUGCCAGCUAGCGAUCUGCCUGCGUUUUUACUGUAGACUGGGCAGGAAGCUUCCGGGAAACCAAAGCAUUUGGGUUCCGGGGGAAGUAUGGUUGCAAAGCUGAAACUUAAAGGAAUUGACGGAAGGGCACCACCAGGAGUGGAGCCUGUGGCUUAAUUUGACUCAACACGGGAAAUCUCACCAGGCCCGGAC
rnacentral:rRNA from 1 species